rnacentral:rRNA from 1 species
UACGUAGGGUGCAGGCGUUAAUCGGAAUUACUGGGCGUAAAGGGUGCGCAGGCGGCCGGGUGUGUCAGAUGUGAAAUCCCGAGGCUUAACCUCGGAACUGCGUCUGAAACUACUCGGCUAGAGUAUUGGAGAGGGUAACGGAAUUCACGGUGUAGCAGUGAAAUGCGUAGAUAUCGUGAGGAACACCAGAGGCGAAGGCGGUUACCUGGACAAUUACUGACGCUCAGGUACGAAAGCAUGGGGAGCAAAAGGG